CCUACGGGGGGCAGCAGUGGGGAAUAUUGGACAAUGGGCGAAAGCCUGAUCCAGCCAUGCCGCGUGUGUGAAGAAGGCCUUCGGGUUGUAAAGCACUUUCAGUGGGGAAGAAAGCCUUGGGGCUAAUACCCUCGAGGAAGGACAUCACCCACAGAAGAAGCACCGGCUAACUCCGUGCCAGCAGCCGCGGUAAUACGGAGGGUGCGAGCGUUAAUCAGAAUUACUGGGCGUAAAGCGCGCGUAGGCGGUCUGAUAAGCCGGUUGUGAAAGCCCCGGGCUCAACCUGGGAACGGCAUCCGGAACGGUCAGGCUAGAGUGCAGGAGAGGAAGGUAGAAUUCCCGGUGUAGCGGUGAAAUGCGUAGAGAUCGGGAGGAAUACCAGUGGCGAAGGCGGUCUUCUGGACUGACACUGACGCUGAGGUGCGAAAGCGUGGGUAGCAAACAGGAUUAGAUACCCGUGUAGUC
rnacentral:rRNA from 1 species